UACGUAGGGGGCAAGCGUUGUCCGGAUUUAUUGGGCGUAAAGCGCACGCAGGCGGUCUUUUACGUUUUGAGUGACAGGUGGUGGCUUAACUGCCACAGGCCUCGAAAUACGGGAAGACUUGAGGGCUUGAGAGGGAUACGGAAUUCCAGGUGGAGCGGUGAAAUGCGUAGAGAUCUGGAAGAACACCAAAGGCGAAGGCAGUAUCCUGGCAAGUCACUGACGCUCAGGUGCGAAAGCUAGGGGAGCGAACGGG
rnacentral:rRNA from 1 species